rnacentral:rRNA from 1 species
CACGUAGUUAGCCGGAGCUUAUUCUAUGGGUACAGUCUUUCUUCUUCCCCAUCUAAAGCAGUUUACAAUCCGAAAACCUUCUUCCUGCACGCGGCGUCACUGCAUCAGAGUUUCCUCCAUUGUGCAAUAUUCCCGACUGCUGCCCCCCGUAGGAGUCUGGGCCGUAUCUCAGUCCCAAUGUGGCCGUUCAACCUCUCAGUCCGGCUACUGAUCGUCGACUUGGUAGGCCGUUACCCCACCAACUAUCUAAUCAGACGCAAGCCCAUCUAUCAGCGGAUUACUCCUUUCCUGUUUGUAUCAUGCGAUACUCACAGCAUAUGCGGUAUUAGCAAUGAUUUCUCACUGUUAUUCCCCUCUGAUAGGCAGGUUGCUUACGUGUUACUCACCAGUCCGCCACUAACCGCUUCCAAAUGUAAACAUUCGAAUUAAGUUCGUUCGACUUGCAUGUCUUAUGUGCGCCGCCAGCGUUUAUCCUGAGCCAGGAUCAAA